UCCAGUCAGAACAUCUUAUGCAAAUACCCAAGCGCAGACGCAAGCCAAUCGAGUGCAUGCAAUACCAGAAAACUAAUGUGAUUGGCUGUCACUAUGAGAAGAGACAAUUUGAGGGAAAGAUUAAAAACAAGGAGGUCUGGGAAUGACUGAAUGGAUCUGACAGCAGUGCGGGAAGGAAGUAAUCACCAGAAUCUCAGAGGAUGUUGACAGUGCAGGCCCAGGAUGAAGAAGAGGAGGAAGAACACGUUUAACAAUUUUCUCAUAAGCUUGCCAUGUGUUAUAAUAAAAACAAUGAACAUGGCUACAAUAAUAUGCUAAAUGUUAUUAAAAGAUUCCAGUUUGCAAGAAGUCUGAGUGUCUGACUCUAAACUAGAGGAACUCUUUCCUGAAGAAGAUCAGGUGCUGAGAAGGAGCCUUGUUCUAAAGCAAAACACUGCAUCAAGCCUCCUGUCCUUCCCUCAGAAGAGCCUGUCUUCUGCUGCUGGGGUAAGAAACACACUCUUCCUCUUCUCUAUCAGCUGUCCUGCACCUAACUCUGCCUCCUCAGCACUGUCUGAAAGAGUCUUCUCCACAGUCAGUAAUCAGAGAUCACAGAUUCUUCUGAGAAAGUCGAUAUGCUCAUUUUCUUAAAAAACUUUGUUUUUUCGGGUGGGACAAAUAAUACAGGAGAGAUGCUAGAAAUCUCUAUAUUUUUCAUUUUUCAUAUCUUUACGCUUUAUGAAUG